rnacentral:rRNA from 1 species
GGGCCCGCACAAGCGGUGGAGUAUGUGGUUUAAUUCGAAGCAACGCGCAGAACCUUACCAACCCUUGACAUCCUGUGCUACAUUCAGAGAUGAAUGGUUCCCUUCGGGGACGCAGUGACAGGUGCUGCAUGGCUGUCGUCAGCUCGUGUCGUGAGAUGUUCGGUUAAGUCCGGCAACGAGCGCAACCCACAUCCCUAGUUGCCAGCAGUUCGGCUGGGCACUCUAUGGAAACUGCCCGUGAUAAGCGGGAGGAAGGUGUGGAUGACGUCAAGUCCUCAUGGCCCUUACGGGUUGGGCUACACACGUGCUACAAUGGUAGUGACAAUGGGUUAAUCCCAAAAAGCUAUCUCAGUUCGGAUUGCACUCUGCAACUCGAGUGCAUGAAGCUGGAAUUACUAGUAAUCG